AUUAAUUGAGGGCAGAAAGGUUCCUGCCACACCUAACUUGAGGCAUUAAUUAAGAUGUCGGUACUAUUUUAUAGUUGUAAAUCUUGCAUUUACAUAGGUAUCUGAGAUGUUGGGUACACCGUCCAACCAAUUAAU
ncrna:unclassified sequences skipping-rope RNA